CUCAGAACGAACGUUAGCGGCGCGCCGUAACACAUGCGAAGUCGAGCGAGAAAGGGGCUUCGGCCCCGGUUAAAGCGGCGCACGGGUGAGUAACACGUGGAUAACCUACCCCUUGGUGGUGGAUAACCUUCCGAAAGGAGGCUAAUACAGCGUAAGACCACGACUUCGAAAGAGGUUGAGGUAAAAAGUGGGCCUCUGUACACAAGCUCACGCCAGGGGAUGGGUCCGCGGCCCAUCAGCUAGUUGGUAGGGUAACGGCCUACCAAGGCGAAGACGGGUAGCUGGUCUGAGAGGAUGAUCAGCCACACUGGAACUGAGACACGGUCCAGACUCCUACGGGAGGCAGCAGUGGGGAAUCUUGCGCAAUGGACGAAAGUCUGACGCAGCGACGCCGCGUGAGUGAUGAAGGCCUUCGGGUUGUAAAGCUCUGUGGAGAGGGACGAAUAAGUGUCGUCGAAUAGACGGCAUGAUGACGGUACCUUUUUAGCAAGCACCGGCUAACUCUGUG
rnacentral:rRNA from 1 species